UACGGAGGACCCAAGCGUUAUUCGGAUUUAUUGGGUUUAAAGGGUGCGUAGGCGGAUUGGUAAGUCAGGGGUGAAAUCCUACAGCUUAACUGUAGAACUGCCUUUGAUACUGCUGAUCUUGAGUGCAGAUGAUGUGGGCGGAAUAUGACAUGUAGCGGUGAAAUGCUUAGAUAUGUCAUAGAACACCGAUUGCGAAGGCAGCUCACAAAACUGUAACUGACGCUGAGGCACGAAAGCAUGGGGAUCGAAC
rnacentral:rRNA from 1 species